rnacentral:rRNA from 1 species
UGGGGAAUAUUGGACAAUGGGGGAAACCCUGAUCCAGCAAUGCCGCGUGAGUGAAGAAGGCCUUCGGGUUGUAAAGCUCUUUUAUAGGGGAAGAUGAUGACGGUACCUUAUGAAUAAGCUCCGGCUAACUUCGUGCCAGCAGCCGCGGUAAUACGAAGGGAGCAAGCGUUGUUCGGAAUAACUGGGCGUAAAGGGCGCGUAGGCGGUCUUGUAAGUUCGAUGUGAAAGCCCUGGGCUCAACCUGGGAAUUGCAUUGAAAACUAUGAGGCUAGAGUGUUGCAGGGGAUGAUGGAAUUAUGCAUGGAGAGGUGGAAUUCAUAGAUAUGCAUAGGAACACCGGAGGCGAAGGCGAUCAUCUGGGCAACAACUGACGCUGAGGCGCGAAAGCGUGGGGAGCAAA